AUCAGUUCUAGUUAUA
rnacentral:rRNA from 1 species